CAUUAGACGAACCCUAAAUUUCUUCUCGCUGUAAAUCUCUCUCAUUCGUUAAUGGGGAACUUCAAUCUUCUUCCAAGAGACAUUUUACUAGAUAUUAUAACUCGUUUACCAACCGAAUCCAUUCUAGACUGCAAACUUGUUUGCAAGCCAUGGAGGAACCUUGUUUCACAUCAUCCAUCAUUCUCCUAAAUGCAUUUAGCUCAUCUUAGUGAUCACUCCACUGAUGAUUCUGUAAGUUAAGUUUUCUUAUCUCAGCUAAGCAACAACUUUACUACUUCGAAUACAUUGAGAAUAAUGAUGAUCAGACACCAGUAUAGUCUUAGAAGGAUCAAAUUUACCCCUCCAUUUACAUCUCGUUAUAAAAUUAUUGGAUCUUGUAGUGGUUUAGUCUGUCUGUAUGGAGACAAAGAUCAUACUUAUUGUAUUUGUAACCCUAUGACUAGAGAAUAUGUUCUUCUUCCAAAAAGUAAGACAGAUUGUGAUGAUCAUUAUAAUGAAUGUGCGAGCGGAUUCGGUUACCUUCCUUCAACUAAUGAAUAUAAAGUUGUUGAACUGUGUCCGUUGAAGGGAGGAUCUUCUUUUACCGACGUUGCGGUAUACACUCUUGGCAGUGGAAACGGUUGGUAAAAUGUUAAGAGAUUGUCUUUUCGAAUUUAUGUUGGAGAUGGUGUCUUUGUGAAUGGAAUAUUGCAUUGGGUGGAACUAGGAGGAAUAGUCUUGACCUUCGAUUUGAAUGAAGAGAUGUUUGAAUCUCUUGCACCACCUCCUUUACCGCAAGUUUAGUGGCGUGAUCGUACUCUGUCCAUUGGUGUUACUGGUGUUGGUAUUUCAUAUUACAGAUAUUACUGUCAUAUAACCAGGAGCAGAUGUUUUGACAUAUGGCUACCAAGGGAACGUGAUCCACUAGGUUGGAGUAAAAAGUCCUUUUUUCGUGAGCCACAAGGUUGGAGAAAAAAGUGUAGUCUUCCCGAAAGACAACCAUUAGCCUUUACCAAGAGUGGCAGUGUUUUAUGUUUCGGUGAUAGCUCUCUUGGCAUUUACGAUGUAAUGGCUUCAACCUGGGAAAGGCUUGUGGAUAUUAGUGCAGUUAGUCAAAUAUCCCCUCACAAGAACACCUUAGUCUCGCUGAAAGAAUUAGGGGAAGAAGAUAUAAAAAUAAUGGAGUCCAUUGAGAUUGAGGAGACAGAAAGCCAUGAUCUGCCGACAAAGGAGCUAGCAUGAUGAGAUCCCUGGAUAAACUUAUUAACGGGAGAAUUCUCAGGAAAUCUGAAAAUCUUAACAUGGAGCAGGGAUCUAGAGCAGGCGGAAGCUCUAAGUUUGCGUAAAGCCGAAGAGUAGAUCCUCCAGCACCUCUACUUUGGCACUGUCAAAAGGAGUUAAAAUCUUAAGGAAUGUUGUGUUUCAAAAGGCUAGCAAGUCAAACUGCUGCUUGCUUUUCUAAAAAGUACAUAGACAGAGAGGAGUAGACCCUUUGAGUUCCACAUUUCACUUUAGAAAUGGUUCAGUGAUUGACUAAUGCAAACCCUGUUGCUUAUGAAAGAAAAAAGCGCCGCACCGGUAGUGCC